AUUGAACGCUGGCGGCAGGCUUAACACAUGCAAGUCGAACGAGUGGAGGACGGGUGAGUCAUGCUUGGGAAUCUGGCUUAUGUAGGGGGAUACCGACGGGAAAAUUUAGCUGAUACCGCGUACAAUAGGAUGCGCCCAACUGUGAUUAGGUACUUGGUGGGGUAAUGGCAUACCAAGCCGACGCUAUCUAUCUUGUCUGAGAGGAUGACCAGCCACACCGGGAAUGAUACACGGCCCGUACUCCUACGGUAGGCAGCAGUGGGGAAUAUUGCGAAAUGGGGGAAAACCUGACGCAGCCAUGCCGCGUGAAUGAAGAAGGCCUUCGGGUUGUAAAGUUCUUGCGUUGACGAGGCGUUAAUCACAGAAGAAGCACCGGCUAACUCCGUGCCAGCAGCCGCGGUAAUUC
rnacentral:rRNA from 1 species